rnacentral:rRNA from 1 species
UUGCCAUCAUUAAGUUGGGCACUCUAAGGUGACUGCCGGUGACAAACCGGAGGAAGGUGGGGAUGACGUCAAAUCAUCAUGCCCCUUAUGACCUGGGCUACACACGUGCUACAAUGGACGGUACAAAGAGCUGCAAGACCGCGAGGUGGAGCUAAUCUCAUAAAACCGUUCUCAGUUCGGAUUGUAGGCUGCAACUCGCCUACAUGAAGCUGGAAUCGCUAGUAAUCGCGGAUCAGCAUGCCGCGGUGAAUACGUUCCCGGGCCUUGUACACACCGCCCGUCACACCACGAGAGUUUGUAACACCCGAAGUCGGUGGGGUAACCUUUUUGGAGCCAGCCGCCUAAGG